AAAAACUGCGAAUCUUUCUUUUUAAUAGGUAUCAGUCGAUUCCGUCAUCUCUUUAGCGAUAACAAUACCUUAUGCCAUCCCCGGCAUUGCGACAAACUAAAACAUGUCGUUGCGAGUAGUGUAAUUUUGUGAAGCGAAAACUGUUUUUGGGUCAUGUUUACAUGAGAACUAUGCUAACAAUGUCUGUUUCUUUAAGCGUAAUGCUAUCUACAUAGGGCUCUUAAGGUAGCACAAUACAAAGAUGUUAUACCUCCCAUUCUUCCGUUUUAAAAUGCAGUAACUUUCUAUAUAAUGCUUAAAAUUUAAAAAAUCAUAAAAGUGGUAUUUAUG
rnacentral:lncRNA from 1 species